AUGCUUUUGAAAUGAAAGGUGUUCGGAAUAUUUCCGCCUUGUAAAUUUAUAAACGUAAUCACUCAAGUUUCCAAACUAUUCGAGUAUUGUCUUUCAAAUGUAAUCACUUCACUUUCAUGAACAAGGUUUUAAAAAUAAUUUUUUGAGUUAUGAAAAUCGGGUCCUUACAACUUCUAAUACCCCAUAGGUUGAUGAGCAAAAGGUUGAAUCUGCCCGAGGAGGGGCUCGCGUCUGAUUAGCUAGAUGGUGGGGAAAUAACUUACCAAGGCGAUGAUUAGCAGCUGGUUCGAGAGGAUGUUCAGCCACACUAGGACUAAGAUACGACCUAGACUGUUAGAGAAGAAGCAAUGACGGUAACUGAGGAAUAAGCAUCGUCUAACUCCAUGCCAGCAGUCCUUGUAAGAUAGAGGAUGCAAGUGUUAUCCAGAAUGAUUCACCAUCAAAUCUCAGGGCUCAACCCUGGACAGGCGGUGGAAACUACCAAGCUGGAGUAUUGUAGGGGCAGAGGUAAUUUUUGGUGGAACCGUGAAAUGGGUAUAGAUAGGAAAGAACACCAACGGCGAAAGCACUGUGCUGGGUCGACACUAACACUGAGAGAUGAAGGCUAGGGGGGCUAAUAAGAUUAGAUACCCUAGUAGGCCUAGCCGAAAGCGAUAGAUACUAGGCGUUGUACAUAUCGACCCGUGCAAUGUUGUAGCUAAUGCGUUAAGUAUCCCACCUGGGAGUACGUUAACUAGAACGAAUCUCAAAGGAAUUGAUGGGGGCCAGCACAAGCGGUGGAGCAUGUGGUUUAAUUCGAUACAGAGCGAAGAACCUUACCAGGGCUUGACAUGUCGCGAAUCCUCUUGAAAGAGAAGGGGGUGCCUUCGGGAAUGCGGACACAGGUGGUGCAUGGUCGUCGUCAGCUCGUGCCGUAAGGUGUUGGGUUAAGUCCCACAAUGAGCGAAACCCUCACGUAUAGUUGCCAAUGUUGAGUUUGGAACCGUGAGCAUACUGCUAGUGAUAAGUCAGAGGAAGGUGAGGAUGACGUCAAGUCAUCAUGCCCCUUAUGCCCUAGGUGACACACGUGCUACAAUGUCCGGGACAAAGGAUCGCUAUCCCUCGAGGGUGAGCUAAAUCCAAAAACCCGUCCUCAAUUCGGAUUGUAGGCUGCAACUCGCCUGCAUGAAGCCGAAAUCGCUAGUAAUCGCAUGUCAUCCAUACAUCGGUGAAUUCGUUCCUGGGCCUUGUACACACUGCCCGUCACACUAUGGGACCUAGCCAUGCCCGAACUCAUUACCUAAACCACAAGGAGGGGGAAGUCGAAGGCAGUGCUAGUGACUGGAGUGAAGUCUUAACAAGGUAGCCGUACAGGAAGGUGCGACUGGAUGACCUCCUUU